UUGAGCAUUUGGAUCAAAAGGAUGAAUUAUACGGCAACCAUACAUCAGUAGGUUCUAGAAGGUUGCUCUGCAAUACUUCAACCUAUCUGGUCAUCAGAUCAUCAUUAGUAGAUGGUUACAUCGAUUGGUAUAAAAAGUUAUUCCUAUAUUACCGACUUAGGUUCGAACCUAUGGGAUCACAUACAUUAGAAGAUUUGAUCAGAUC
rnacentral:lncRNA from 1 species